rnacentral:piRNA from 1 species
UGCAGUGCUCUCAAUUCAGGGAUGAUC